GGGCCGGUAGAUCAAUUGGGAGAUCGUCUCCAUGGCAUGGAGAAGGUUGUGGGUUCAAGUCCCAUCCGGUCCA
rnacentral:tRNA from 1 species